AGCCAGGUGAGUAAGCAAGGGAGGAGUGCUUUUGUUUUUAACCCCAUAUAUGCUGGGUUUAACCUAGGGGAACUGAUGUCAGGGCCA